GAAGUGCGAUAAGCAAUGCGAAUUGCAGAAUUCCGCGAAUCAUCAGAUCUUUGAACGCAAAUGGCGCCGGAGGGAUAUCCUUCCGGCAUGUCUGUUUCAGUGUCUGAGAGGUUUCACCAAAAUCUUAAUGUGAUUGAUGGGUGGUGUUAUUAUUCAACAAAAUAAUAAACACAAGUCAUCUCUCAUGAAAGAUGCGUGAGUGGAUCUUUCGGUCCAAUGAAGUGGUCACAUCACUCGUAUGUGAUUUCAUUGGAAAAAAUCACACCGAAUUAUCCGUAUACUCACAGUACCUUUACAAAAACAAACCUUCCAUACCCUGCAUCUGAGAUAGGCAAGAUCACCCGCUGAACUUAA
rnacentral:misc_RNA from 1 species